rnacentral:rRNA from 1 species
AGAGUUUGAUCAUGGCUCAGGAUGAACGUUGGCGGUGUGCCUAAUACAUGCAAGUCGAACGGAGAUUGUAGCAAUACUGUCUCAGUGGCGAACGGGUGAGUAACGCGUGGGUGACCUGCCCCGAAGUGUGGAAUAACAGUUCGAAAGAGCUGCUAAUACCGCAUAAUAUCAUAGAGAUUAGAACCUUUUUGAUUAAAGGAUUUAUUCGCUUCGGGAGGGGCCUGCGUCCCAUCAGCUAGUUGGUAAGGUAAUGGCUUACCAAGGCUAUGACGGGUAGGGGACCUGAGAGGGUGGCCCCCCACAAUGGAACUGAAACACGGUCCAUACACCUACGGGUGGCAGCAGUAGGGAAUAUUAGUAAUGGGCGAAAGCCUGAACUAGCAACACCGCGUGUGCGAAGAAGGCCUUCGGGUUGUAAAGCACCUUUGAGAGGAUGAGAAGGACGGUACUCUCAGAUAGUCUCGGCUAACUACGUGCCAGCAGCCGCGGUAACACGUAGGAGGCGAACGUUAUCCGGGAUUUACUGGGCGUAAAGCGCGUGUAGGUGGUUUGGUAAGUAGGGCGUGAAAGCUCCUGGCUCAACUGGGAGAGGCCGUUCUAAACUGCCGAACUAGAGGAUGGUAGAGGGAGGUGGAAUUCCGGGUGUAGCGGUGGAAUGCGCAGAUAUCCGGAGGAACACCAGUGGCGAAAGCGGCCUCCUGGACCAUUCCUGACACUCAGACGCGAAAGCUAGGGUAGCAAACGGGAUUAGAGACCCCGGUAGUCCUAGCCCUAAACGAUGUAGACUAGGCGUCGGUGGUUUAAACGCCAUCGGUGUCCAAGCUAACGCGAUAAGUCUACCGCCUGGGGACUACGGCCGCAAGGUUAAAACUCAAAGGAAUUGACGGGUCCCCGCACAAGCAGCGGAGCGUGUGGUUUAAUUCGUUGCUACACGAAGAACCUUACCUGGGUUUGACAUAGCAGUGGUAGGGAAGCGAAAGCAGACCGACCCUUCGGGGAGCUGUUACAGGUGUUGCAUGGCUGUCGUCAGCUCGUGUCGUGAGAUGUUCGGUUAAGUCCGCUAACGAGCGCAACCCUCGCUGUGUGUUACAAGUGUCACGCAAGACCGCCGGUAGAAAGCCGGAGGAAGGUGGGGAUGAUGUCAAGUCAGCAUGGCCUAUAUAUCCUGGGCUACACACACGCUACAAUGAUCGGUACAAUGGGUUGCGAAGCCGCGAGGCGGAGCCAAUCCUGGAAAGCCGGUCUCAGUGCAGAUUGCAGGCUGCAACUCGCCUGCAUGAAGAUGGAGUUGCUAGUAACCGCAGGUCAGCGAUACUGCGGUGAAUACGUUCCCGGGCCUUGUACACACCGCCCGUCACGUCAUGGGAGUUGGCAACACCUGAAGCCGGUAUCCUAACCGCAAGGGGGGAGCCGUCAAAGGUGGGGUUGAUAACUGGGACGAAGUCGUAACAAGGUA